rnacentral:rRNA from 1 species
AACGCUAGCUACAGGCUUAACACAUGCAAGUCGAGGGGAAACGAUAUUGGAAGCUUGCUUCCGAUAGGCGUCGACCGGCGCACGGGUGAGUAACGCGUAUCCAACCUGCCCAUCACUUGGGAAUAACCUUGCGAAAGUAAGACUAAUGCCCAAUGAUAUCCCACGAAGGCAUCCGAAUGGGAUUAAAGAUUUAUCGGUGAUGGAUGGGGAUGCGUCUGAUUAGCUUGUUGGCGGGGUAACGGCCCACCAAGGCAACGAUCAGUAGGGGUUCUGAGAGGAAGGUCCCCCGCAUUGGAACUGAGACACGGUCCAAACUCCUACGGGAGGCAGCAGUGAGGAAUAUUGGUCAAUGGGCGAGAGCCUGAACCAGCCAAGUAGCGUGCAGGAUGACGGCCCUAUGGGUUGUAAACUGCUUUUAUAAGGGAAUAAAGUGGGUCACGUGUGACUUUUUGCAUGUACCUUAUGAAUAAGGACCGGCUAAUUCCGUGCCAGCAGCCGCGGUAAUACGGAAGGUCCGGGCGUUAUCCGGAUUUAUUGGGUUUAAAGGGAGCGUAGGCCGGAGAUUAAGCGUGUUGUGAAAUGUAGAGGCUCAACCUCUGCACUGCAGCGCGAACUGGUCUUCUUGAGUACGCACAACGUGGGCGGAAUUCGUGGUGUAGCGGUGAAAUGCUUAGAUAUCACGAAGAACUCCGAUUG